UAUACAUCAAAGACGUGGACAUCCCGAGGAUAGCCUAGAAAGCACGCAUGAAGGGGCAGUUGAACAUCAAGUGGCAAGCCGUCUCUAGGUCCGCAUAGUAGGGGGCAACCGGUAUUCGAAGCUACGACCAUCGUUUUCCUGAGCAGGACAUCCCUAGUAUGAUUGCGGGAUAUACAUAGCAACAAGGCGAAGAAUUUGACCCACCACGGAGCCGAGAGCCCUAGAGGAAGGCAACGUUCUCCUCCCGCACCCCACGCAAGCGAUACAUGGCAUACAUUCUGCUAGUGGACCACUGGGGCGGACCAAAGCACAUGAUCUAUGGAGCUUGUAAAUCCAAGGAGUAGCAUUGUUCGAGGCCAGGAGAGCGAAGACUAAGGAAUGCUCCCAUUCGCCCAUGCAAUAGAUCUGGUGCAUAAGCAUGACAUAGAGGUUGCGCUCUCGGACUCGCGAGAGCAUUACCUUAUGGCACGUUGUGUGGG
rnacentral:lncRNA from 1 species